rnacentral:rRNA from 1 species
CCUACGGGGGGCAGCAGUGAGGAAUAUUGGUCAAUGGGCGGAAGCCUGAACCAGCCAAGUCGCGUGAGGGAUUAAGGCCCUGCGGGUCGUAACCCUCUUUUGCCGGGGAGCAGUGGUCCGGACGCGUCCGGACCGGGAGAGUAACCGGAGAAACAGCAUCGGCUAACUCCGUGCCAGCAGCCGCGGUAAUACGGAGGAGGGGAGCGUUAGCCGGAUUUAUUGGGUUUAAAGGGUGCGUAGGCGGGCAUUUAAGCCGGCGGUCAAAUGUCGGGGCUCAACCCCGGCCUGCCGUUGGAACUGGUGGCCUUGAGUGGGCGAGAGGUAUGCGGAAUGCGUGGUGUAGCGGUGAAAUGCAUAGAUAUCACGCAGAACCCCGAUUGCGAAGGCAGCGUACCGGCGCCCUACUGACGCUGAGGCACGAAAGUGCGGGUAGCGAACAGGAUUAGAUACCCCAGUAGUC